GACAGAAAUGUGUAAUGAUGUAGUAUGUUUAUUUCGGUUUGCGCCAGUCGCACUACUCUUUUGUAAAUCCCCAAAAUAUUAUAUGGUAUGGAUUCUUUUUUUAUUUUUGGUCGCUGGGGCAUGAGGCUAACGACUUUAAGCUUUCUUUUCAGAUUUUCUACUCUUUUUUCAGUCACAAUUUGAGGCAUUACGUAAUCUUUCAGCUACAAAUCAAUGAUGUCACUGGGUUGCCAUUUGUUCUUCCACCUUCGGACCCGUGCAAUUUCGAACAUCUUUCAAAAAUUCAAUCGUGCAUGUUUUUU
rnacentral:lncRNA from 1 species